rnacentral:tRNA from 1 species
AGCUGAGUCGGUCUCAGCGAAGGAUUGCGUUUGAGCAGGGAUCAUAAUCCAGGGGGCGGGGGUUCGAGUCCCCUC